rnacentral:misc_RNA from 1 species
GGAAUUCCACUUAUAUUUUGUAUAUAAGUUCCAAACGCCAUACAUCCAUUAUCAAAAUCAUAACCAGAAGAAUGAGAUGAGCUUUGGCACAAUGAGACUCCAGAACUACAAGGAAAAGAAACUUCAUGAAGUCAUGCAUUUGUCAUUGUUAUUUACACCAUCAACAGGUCAUACAAUGCCGGCAUCAAUAGUAUCAUAAAUGAACUAACAGGAAAGUAGGAAACACGAUAAAGAAACAAUGACAUAAACUGCUUCACUUCGUUUUAAAGGGACAGAAAGUAAGGAUUAUAACACACACACACUUUAGGCUUAAAACAUACUAAAUUUUGAUAAAUUGAAGCAUGCGCCUUAAAGGGAUACUAAACUCAAACCUGCUUGUUUAUCAG